UACGUAGGGGGCUAGCGUUGUCCGGAUUUAUUGGGCGUAAAGAGCGUGUAGGCGGCCAGGUAGGUCUGGUGUGAAAACUCGAGGCUUAACCUCGAGAUGUCAUCGGAAACCAUCUGGCUAGAGUCCGGAAGAGGAGAGUGGAAUUCCUGGUGUAGCGGUGAAAUGCGCAGAUAUCAGGAAGAACACCAAUGGCGAAAGCAGCUCUCUGGGACGGUACUGACGCUGAGACGCGAAAGCGU
rnacentral:rRNA from 1 species